AAAAUGUGAGGAUUUUGCUUAAUGUCCCAUAUUCAUAAUAUGUCUAAGUACAACCAGUGAGACCGGUUUAUAUGGAUCGAAAAUUAAAUAAUUAGAACUUUUAUUACGUGGGUUAUAAUUUUUGAAAGGAUUCAUUUUAAUUUUUCAAGUGGAAAGCUAAAAGCUAUUUUAAAAUAAUAACAGUUUUAUGCACGAUAUUCAGAAAGUAUUUUAAAUGUCAUUCGGGAACGUCAAAACUUGACGUCUUAACGAACGUUAAAACGAUAGCACAUAGAAAUAUAUUAUAGAUGGGUACAAAAAAGAGCUUAAACAUAAAAAGUUUUAAGCUACGAAAAGUUUCUUCGACAUAAUGACUUAAUUACUACGUUUAAAGAAUAUUUUUAAUGAUAUUAAACCAACGUAGUUACGUAAUAAUUAUUUUGAAAAAUUUCGAUACAAAUUUUGAAAUAUCUAUUAAAAAAAACUGCAUGAAUCAACAACAUGUUCGAUAUAACAGUAAUCUGUC